CGGGAAUUAAAAAUUUUCCUGAGAAAGCUCUAUCGUGAGUGAAUUUUCUCGCCGGCCAAACACCCUGCUCCACAUGUCCCCAUGGACACUCUAAUCUCCUCAGCUCUCGAGGAAAUCUGUUGCCGUGGCUCAACCGGCCUCUUGCUUUCCUCCCUCUGGUCUACCCUAACUCCCACGCCUGCUGUCUCCCUCAAAGCGUCUCUCUGGUCCAACCUUUUAUCUAUCUCUUCUAUUCAGUUCUUUGUCCCAGCAGAAGACUCUCCAUUUAGCGCCACCGACCCCAAAAUUCAGCGUUUUGAAGACGCUGAGAAGCUCAACUUGAAGAUUGUGGCUAACGAGCAUCUUAGGGAUUGCUUCGUUGGCCUUUAUGACACUCCUUCCUCCAGCAUUGGUCCUCUUCAGCGUCGCACUCUUGAACGGCUUGCUGUCGUUAGGACAAACGGAAUAACACAAAAUCAACUAGCUAAGGAAUUCGGCAUUGAAGGGAACAACUUCUUUUAUAGAGUUAGGAACCUUGAAUGCCGGCAAUUGAUUGUGCGAAAACCGGUCAUUGUGAAGACGAAAGAAGCUGACUGUGAAGGGGAGACUAAGAACAGUUCGGUUGUAAGUACCAAUUUAAUAUAUCUACCCCGUUAUGCAAAGCAUUUAGGUGUACAACAAAGAUUUGAGAUUAACAAAGAAGAACGCAAUUUGGGGGGUCCUGGGAAUGUAGAGGAAACUGAUGUAGGUGGAGAUGGUUUUGAGAGAGAGCCUUCUAAAGAUGAUGUACUUAUAAAGGAUUUUUUACCUGCAAUGAAGGCCAUUUGUGAUAAACUUGAGGAAGCUAAUGACAAGGUCCUUGUUGUCUCAGAUAUCAAACAGGCUCUUGGUUAUACCAGAACUCCUGGGCACAGAGCUUGGAGAAAUAUAUGUCGUAGGUUGAAAGAUGCUGGCAUUGUUGAGGAGUUUGAUGCUAAAGUGAAUGAAAAGGUUGAACGUUGCUUACGCUUGUUGAAGAAGUUUCCUUCAAAGAAUUUUGAGAACAAACCUCUUGGGUGGACAUGUUUUGAGAGAGAAAAAUAGCGAAGUUUGGAAGAAGGUUUCAACAAACUGAGCAGUUUGUAGAUCUUCCUGUUGACCAUCAAAUUUAUGAUAUGAUUGAAGCCAAAAGAACAGACGGGGCUACCGUUAUUGAGGUGGGCACUGUUUCUUGUCACUGCAUUGUCAAUUAUCUUCUUGUUGUUUCAUAUAAAAUACAUUUUUCUCAAAAAAUAUCUACAUUACUUUAAAUGAAUGGUUUUUCUCGUCCUUGUUACUGAAAAUAUUUUCAUUUUCCUUUUCACCACAUUGAAUUUAGCCCUUAGCUUUGAAGUGCUAUACUUAGUUUGCAUGUAUGAAGUCAUGGCUAUGUCUUCCUAUGCACUGACAACAUUAUUUUUGAAUAAAUUUCCCCAGCAGACACUCAACUUUGUUAAUUGUUUCAUUUCAGUCCUUAUCUUUCAUUUUUACUAGCAGUUACUCAGACCAUAAUCUAGUAAAUUUUCUGGUGAAACUCUUAUAUGGCAUGUCUUACAAGGCUUUAAAUUAUACAAAAUUUUUCCUUGCUAGAUCAAUUUAAAAACCAAAGAAACAAAUAAAUUUUUAUUUUCAUGUUGCUUGUUACAUUCACUAAUCCUUAUUUUUAGAACCCAAGACACAUCAUAUAGGAGUUUUACCGGAAAUUCUAUCAAAUUCUAGUCCGAGUGACUGCUAGUAAAUAAAAAAUAAAAGAUGAGCGAUUUUAUUGAAACAAAUUAAAGUACAAUGACUGGAAUGAAACAAUUAGCACAGUUGAGUGACCGCGGGUAAAAUUUAUCCUAUUAUUUUUAUCAUUUUAUCUGGUACUUGUUGCUAUUGCAAGUUUUGAGUGCCGUUUUUACGCGUUAGUUGUAUGGUAUGGUAUAGGGAUCUGUUAUACUUUUGUUUAACGGUAACUAUGCAAAUAUCUUUUCUGGCUGUUAAAUUUUUGUUACAGAUAAUGUUGAUAUGAACAGGUAUGUUGGAGGCUUGGAAUUGAUAGGUAAAGAAACAAUUCUCGGCUGUACAAUUUGUUCUCUAGGUUUCGGAUGCAUGUGUAGGCAGAAAACCACACAAAACUGUAGCUUUUUGAGUUUGGAUUUCUGAUUCUAAUCCCAAGGAGUCAAAUGCAUUUCUAGAUAAUUCGAAAAAUGAUCUUGGUGGAAUAAACAUUUCUACUUUGAAUGUGGGCAAUCUUGAUGUUCCAGACAGAUCAACUGAGGCCUUUCUAGAGUGCAGUCCUUCAACUUCUGAAGUUGAUUUUGCUACCACCGGAAAACAAAAUAGCGGGGAGAUAAAUGCUGAACUAUGUCAAGGCUUCCCUGAGGAUGGUCCUUCUGACCAUGAGCUUUUCUGUCAUGACAAGGUGCCAGAGUUUCUCUAUGAGCCAAUGGAUAUUGCUUCUAAUGCAAAACUUAAUUUAGUGAAUACAAAAAUGGAGAUCAAUUCUGCUUCAUCAUAAACAGCUUUGUUGAAGCUACCUGAUUCAUAUCUGCCUUAACUACUGAUAAUGCCUUGAGGGAGCAGAGGAUACUUGAGAUGUUGCAGGUGCUCGCUUUCAUUCACUUUAUUGAAGGCUUACCAAGAAAUUAACUCAUUUUUCUUUUCUGUAUUUUCUUUUCUGAAAAAGCUCCUUUUUUUUGGAAAAAAAAAAUCUGUAAGAUGAUUUAUUCCUCAGAAAAGUAGAGCAUAAACUGCUGCAUAAUUUUUUAUGAGGUUACCUUAAUAGUUUUCCUGGAUGGGAUGAUGUUUUUAUUAACUGGCCAAUGUGAGCUUCUUACAACUGAAGCAGCUACGGAGGCUGUCCCAAUUGAGCUAUUUUUGAAGGUGGUGGGACUAGUAACAAAUUUGAUGAUAUGAUUGCAAAAAGCAACAGGGCUUUGUUUCUAUCUGAUCUUCCUAUUGAAGAAUACAAACAGCUGAUGGAUACGCAGGCAACUGGAAGACUGUCAUUGAUAAUUGACAUUUUACGACGAUUGAAGCUGAUUCGUUUGAUACGCAAUGGGUAUUCAGAGGAUGGAUUCAAAAACCCUCAUGAGACUUUUAUGCAUGCAAUGGAGCUUAGACCUUACCUAGAAGAACCAUUAUCAGUGGUUUCAACAUCUAUUUUAAGAUCUCUUGAUCUUCGCCCAAGAAUCAGACAUGAUUUUAUCCUAUCAAAUCAAGAAGCUGUUGAUGAAUAUUGGAAAACUUUGGAGUACUGUUAUGCGGCUGCCGAUCCAAAAGCUGCCUUACAUGCAUUCCCUGGAUCUGUUGUUCCUGAGGUUUUCCACCCCCGUUUUUGGACCUCUGUUCGGGUUAUGUCUGCUCAUCAGCGUACUGAGCUCCUAAAUCGUAUAGGGAAGGAUGAUUUGAACAAAAAAAUUUCAUGUGAAGAUUGCGUAAACAUUGCAAGUGAUCUUAAUCUGUCCCUACAGCAGGUGCUUCGUGCCUAUUAUGGUAAGCACCAGCAACGUCUCAAUAUAUUUCAGGGUGUUGUGAAUGCCAAUGAGGAUCAUCAGACAUCAAAAAAGAAACUCUCUUCUAGAAAAAGAAAGAGAUCUUUAAAAGCAAGCUCAGUAAAGCGUGGAAGAGUUGAUGCUGUGAAGGAGAAGUUAAGUGAGGAGGGACCUGAUAUCGUUGACCAAUUAAUGGAGGAACAAGAACUUUACCCUUCAGAACAACAUGAAGAUCAUUUGCCACCAUAUCAUGAGGGCAAUAAUCAAGAAUCUGUGGAAGAGCCAGGAUCAAAUCAAGAUACAAAAUGUCAUUCUGUAUUAAGCCAAUAUGCUUGUUCAAAGUCUCGUUCAACACGCCAAAGGAGGUUUUCAUGGACUGAUGCAGAUGAUAGGCAACUGUUGAUCCAAUAUGCAAGACAUCGUGCAGUUCUUGGGGCAAAUAUUCACAAAGCUGAAUGGAAAAAAAUUCCUGACCUACCAGCUCCUCCAAUGACAUGUUCUAGAAGAAUGCAUUUAUUGAAGAAAAAUACAAAAUUUAGAAAAAUGCUUAUGAAACUAUGUACCAUGCUUAGUGAGAGAUAUGCAAAGUACCUGGAGCAAACCCAGAGUGCAUCUGUUGACAAGAAUGGUUGCAGAGUUCUUAUGCGAUGUUCAACAAGUGAAGGUGAUAAAUUCUCCAAUGGUCUUAAAAAUUCUGCAGGAGCAGGUUUUGAGGAAGAGCGGUGGGAUGAUUUCAGUGAUGAGAGUAUUAAGAAAACCUUUGAAUGUGUUCUGUUGUACAAGAAAAAGGCUAAUUUUCAGGACUCUAAAAGAGUUGGAAAUGCUUCUGAAGAAUUGUCCAAUUUAAACAUGAAUAUUGUAGGAUAUAGCACUGUGGAAUCUGAAUUGGUUUCAUCUAGUACUCUUAAUGAAAGCAUCCAUAAAGAUGGCCAGGGAAUAUUUAAAGAUUCUGGACAAAGAUUAAAACGUCAUCGCCUUCAUCAGAAGUUUAUCAAGUGUUUAAAUGAAGGAACUUUUGUUAGCACACAAGUACAUAAAUCAUUGGCAGUUUCAAAUGCAGUGGAGCUUUUGAAGCUUGUCUUCUUGUGCACCUCAGGGGCACCAGAUCUGCAAAAUCAUCUAGCAGAAACUUUGCGGCGUUAUUCGGAGCGCGAUCUUUUUGCAGCUUUUAGCUACCUCAGGGACAAGAAAAUAAUGAUUGGGGGUGAUGGUGGUCAACCCUUUGUGCUGUCCCAACAAUUCAUGCAAAGUGUUUCUAAAUCUUCAUUCCCAUCUAAUACUGGAAAAGAAGCAGCUAAAUUUUCUGGGUGGCUCCAUGAAAGAGAAAAAGAUUUGACAGAAAGGGGAAUUAAUCUUACUGCAGAUUUGCAGUGUGGGGAUAUUUUUCAGUUGUUUGCUCUAGUUUCUUCUGGUGAAUUGUCUAUUUCUCCAUGUGUUCCAGAUGAAGGUGUGGGAGAAGCUGAAGACUUAAGAAGUUUAAAACGUAGGGCUGAGGAUGAUGAACUUUGUGAUGUUGAUAAGGUCAAGAAAAUAAGAUCUUUGGCCGAUAGCGAACUCAUUUCUCGCAGAGAAAAGGGAUUUCCCGGUAUAACAGUACUUGUGCAUCGUACAAAACUUAUGACAGCUAAUGCUGUAGAAUUGUUCAAAGUGAGUUGUAUGGAUGAAUUUCAUCAGAAUGAUAAGUUCAAGGAAAUAUUGGGUCAGAAAAUCAGCUCUAGUUCAUUACAACGUGACAGUACUACAGAAGUCCCCAGUUUUGAUAGCAUUGAUCCUGCAGCAGGAUGGUCUAGCGAGUCACCUUGGGAAGCAAUGGUAGGUUAUGCAGAAUACCUGAUGGUGAAACCCUCUGAUCCAAAACAAGCAAGUCUCUUUAAUCCUGAGGUAUUUAGGACUGUUUUUAUGGCCAUUCAGAAGGCUGGUGACCAAGGUUUGAGUUUAGAAGAAGUUUCCCAAGUCGUGGGUGAAAAUGUGCAUGAACAAAUCAUUGAUGUGCUCCAAGCAUUUGGAUGUGUGUUGAAGGUCAAUGCCUAUGACACUGUUCAUGUUGUUAAUGCUUUAUAUCAUUCCAAGUACUUUUUGACCUCACUGGUGGGUCUCCAUCAAGAUCUUGAUCCACCGUUAGUAACCAAGUCCUUACAGAGAAGUGAGAAUGGUCAUUCAAUCUCCCAUUGUGAAGGUUAUGAUGUAGUUGGCUCUAGUUCACAGAAAGAAGCCAUCAUGAGGAAUCAUCAUGUGCACAAAGUUACAAUUCUUAAUCUUCCUGAAGAGUCUGUUCCCUCCAUUGAAACCCAAAGAAGCAAUGUCCAUGAAGGCAGCUUGCAAGAAAAAGUAAUUUUGCCGGGACAAAAUAAUGAUGGUGAAACGUGUAAGUUCUCCUCAAAGGAAUUACGUGUGCCUAUAUUACCAUGGAUAAAUGGAGAUGGUAGCAUCAACAAAGUUGUCUAUGAUGGACUUGUACGCCGUGUUCUUGGUAUUGUGAUGCAAAGUCCUGGGAUACUAGAGGAGAACAUUAUCCACCAGAUUGAUGUAUUGAAUCCCCAGUUAUGCAGAUGUUGAUGACAUUCCUGGGCUUUACAUCCAUCGUUGAUGUUUAGUGUUUGUGCUUCUUUCUGUAGAGCUGUCGGAGUCUGAUGGAAUUAAUGAUUUUGGAUAAGCACCUGAUUGUGAGAAAGAUGCAUCAAUCUACAUCAAGUGGGCCCCCUGCCUUGCUAGGAACCCUCCUUGGGAGCAGCUUCAGAGAAUCAAAGUCGGUGUACCGUAAACAUUUAUUUGCCAAUCCCAUGUGUGCAUCAUAUCUGUAGGAAAGUUGAAAGCAGCUUCAUUUCAAAUAUUGUAUUCAUCACAGAUAGUGGGAGUAGGAUGAGGUUUUCUCAGAAAGUGCAAGUACCCUAAUUGUAUUAUAUUUAUAAAGUAAACAAUGCUAAAUGUAUAUUUAAUUGGCUAGAAUUUGUAAUUUAAGAAUCUUAAGUUGUUGACAUCUGUAAUGUACAGCACUGCAUUCUAUCAUCCAGUGCUGUUCACAUUUUGGAUGGAACCAACAGACCAACCCAAAUUGAACCAAGUUUUUGGUUUGAAUCACAAGUCAGAUUGGUUGAAUUACUUCUAAAAACUCUUUCUUUUUUUUUUUUUUAUAGUUUUAAUUAAUAACGAUGACAUGUAUUACCAAAUGAUCAGCAUCUCCAAUCCAGCCUAA
rnacentral:misc_RNA from 1 species